UACGAAGGGGGCUAGCGUUGUUCGGAAUCACUGGGCGUAAAGCGCACGUAGGCGGAUCUUUAAGUCAGGGGUGAAAUCCCGAGGCUCAACUCCAGAACUGCCUUUGAUACUGAGGAUCUUGAGUUCGGGAGAGGUGAGUGGAACUGCGAGUGUAGAGGUGAAAUUCGUAGAUAUUAGCUAGAACACCAGUGGCGAAGGCGGCCAACUGGUCCGGAACUGACGCUGAGGUGCGAAAGCGUGGGGAGCAAACAGG
rnacentral:rRNA from 1 species